rnacentral:lncRNA from 1 species
ACCUCACUAUCCGAGUUUAUUGCCUUGCAAAUCUAUUACCUUAAAAAGUGUGCGAACUCGUAAAGUAUCUGUGGAGUUGUAGGAAUUUGUUUCGUGGUUUAAGUGUCUUUUCUCUCUUUUUGCCCUACAAGUGCACUGAAAGCUUCACAGGGAAAAAUGGCAAAGGGGCAAGAAGCUACAUCAGCACACGUGAUGACCUUGCGUUUUUGUUUUUUUCCUUUGAACAUGCUGACUCACUUUCCGCAUGAUCACGUGCAAGUGCAUGCGUAAUGGCACCCUGUGGCAGCUGUGGUAACUAUGCAGAACACAAAUGCUCAAAUAUUCGCGUUACUCUAUCACGGAAAUUGUCGAGAAAAAAACCGGGCCGUCUCUCUAGCAGCUUGUAAUGUAAUGGUAAAUGUAUUGUCACGUGCAGUGGUAAAAUUAAUGUUUGGCUCACAUGUUCAAACUAGCUUUGACUACCUAUCAGCAGCACUUUCUCCCCACGUUCGAAGAGGGAUGCAGGUCUCUUGAAAGGAGGCAACUGGGUGUUAGUGAGGUUGACUCUCAUGCCUUCAGUGAUGGGUUAAACUCUGUGUUCAUUCAAAUCAAGUUCAGAAUACUGACCAGUAGCAGCUGAGUUAGGUUACACUUUCCUCUUUUUCAGGGUUUUAAACUGUCACCAUGUGAAAAUGUCUUAGAAAGAUCACUUCUUUUUCUAAUUGAAGAUGCUUUAGCUUUAAUGCAGCAUUCCAGGAUGCAGAAAUUUGGUUGACUUUUUUAUGCAUUGCAAAAACAUACAUUUUUUAAAGAAGAAAACAGCACCAACUUAGAAGUCUACAUUUUUGUGACCAUUUGAAGCGGCCAUGACAGGGUUACCCAACAAUUUAUGGUUUUAAGUGAAAACUAGAAGAGGGUCUAUUAUGCCUAUGCAAUUUUGAAAAGUGUGCUGUGAGAGAAUAUUUCAGUGCAAGAACAGGUUCUUGAAGUCGCCAUUCUCACCCACUGCCGCUGACUGCCAUCUCAUCAUUAUGUGCAGUAAGGAGAUGUGCUGUCGUCUUCUACCACUGUUUCAGCGGCUGCAAAUUGUUAAGCUUCAGUGCCAAGAAGAAGAAAGCUCAGACAUCUCAAUUUUGCAUGCUGCUGACCACAGAAAAAUAUGAUUCACUGGAAUGUAGAUGCUCACGAAGCCAGCUGUUUGUUAUGUUAUGGCUUGCGAAUGUGCCAGUGCUGCCCGAGUCAGGUUGCAAGCAUAUUUGUUAAUUUAUUCACGUAUAAAUUAAGUGCUUGAACCAAUGCACCAAAAAUUUCGCCUGCUUAUUUGUGAAUGCUGAAGAAUUAACCCCCGUAGCACAAAUAAUGAUAUAAAAUUGAGUGCCAUGGUCCCUUUAGAAAAGAAACAAAGCCAGUUUUAUAUAACAGAAAAGAAAUUCUAUACAUACUUGUGAUGUACAGGUUAAAAAUGAAUAUUCCAAGCACACUUGUCGAAAAAUGUUAUGCAUGAAACGCAAGGUUGGAACAACAGUUGAGCUAACUGAACAGGCCAAAUAAGCAUGGCUACUUGCCAUAAAAAGAAAAAGGAAUUGGGAAGAGGGCAUGCAAAGUGAUUAAUAUUAUGAACCUGUUAAGUUGAGCAUAGUAGUUUAGAAAAACUUAUUAGAAGAAGGUUUCUCUCAUGUCCCUGUUGGCAUGCCUAAGUUUUACUACAACAUUAAGGUUACUGUUUUAGAUGCCUCAGUGCUCAAGUCCAUGCAGUGAUGCAGUUUUAUAUUGUGAGGCAAAUUCAAAGGGGCAGUUGUUUCUGAUAGCGGACAUUCAUUCAUUUCAUUUCACAUUGCGCUUUAGUUGCAUGGCUAUCAGUUUUGCCUUUUCUGCAUCUUCAUCUGUUUUUAUUGAAGUUCUGGUACUGAUUCCUUAUACUUCCACUAUCUUCACUGUUUCAUCUAAGCAGCUGCAGGAUAAACUCUAUUCCU